rnacentral:rRNA from 1 species
UAGGCAGGGGGCUAGCGUUGUUCGGAAUUACUGGGCGUAAAGCGCACGUAGGCGGACUCUUAAGUCAGGGGUGAAAUCCCGGGGCUCAACCUCGGAACUGCCUUUGAUACUGUGAGUCUCGAGACCGGAAGAGGUGAGUGGAAUUCCUAGUGUAGAGGUGAAAUUCGUAGAUAUUAGGAAGAGCACCAGUGGCGAAGGCGGCUCACUGGUCCGGUUCUGACGCUGAGGCGCGAAAGCGUGGGGAGCGAACAGG